rnacentral:rRNA from 1 species
CGUGAGAUGUUGGGUUAAGUCCCGUAACGAGCGCAACCCUUGUCCUUAGUUACCAGCACGUUAUGGUGGGCACUCUAAGGAGACUGCCGGUGACAACCGGAGGAAGGUGGGGAUGACGUCAAGUCAUCAUGGCCCUUACGGCCUGGGCUACACACGUGCUACAAUGGUCGGUACAAAGGGUUGCCAAGCCGCGAGGUGGAGCUAAUCCCAUAAAACCGAUCGUAGUCCGGAUCGCAGUCUGCAACUCGACUGCGUGAAGUCGGAAUCGCUAGUAAUCGUGAAUCAGAAUGUCACGGUGAAUACGUUCCCGGGCCUU